CUCAGGUCACCACCGCAGGAGUACAGGGCCAUCAAGGAGUGGACCGAGGCGCGCGCUCCCGGGCGGGCGUGGGGGGCACCUGAGGUCUCCGCUCUGUUUUACUCCCCUGCAGGAGCCUCCCUCCUCGGAGCGGUUCCCGCCUGCACUCGGCGUCCUCUUCGUGGGACACUAACUCGCUGUGGGCACUGGCUCGUAGGAGGGCACGCCGGAGGAAAGAGGACCUGCAGCUCGUGAACUGUCGGGGGACAGAGACUGAGCACGAGUGAGCCAGAAAGGCUCUGCUGUGGUGACCAUCCUCCUGGCGUGCCGCGCACAUGCGCAGGUCUGUAAUGCGUGAAGGCCCAGGGAAGGCAGAGAACAAGGGAUUGGGCUCAUCUCUCUGUCCAUCAGUCCCUCCACAGCACAGUUCUUUAGACGUUACAUGGCAUUUGUGGUUAAAGUACUUGUCAAGGAUGUAGGUGUGUAAGUAUGGUAUGGUGGGGCGUCUGACCUCCUCUAACUUCAUAAGGGAGAAGGAGAAUCAAGAUCAGCAACCCAAGGCUGACUUCUAUGAGGUGGAGGUCAGAUAUACCUCCUCUCUCCGAUAUUUUACUAAUCCAGACACCAUCUAUCCCUCGCAUGGCACUCUCUGCUUCACUGUUGGGUUUGAUAAUGCAUUGCAAUGGCCACACAGAACUCACAGACCAUACUCACACUUUGGGGUUUGUUAGGGAAGUAACAGGUUAAAAUUCAGGAUCAGACCCCUUGGCCCCUUGGGCCUCUUCAGCCAACCUGGCUUCUGUCCUGCCUGGCCAAGUGUCACAAAGCUCUUUAACUCUGCCAGUAAGUGCUUGGGGGCACCCCAUUUCACCAGUAAGCCUUGGCCCAAAGGUGCUCAGCUCUUUUGCUCUGCGGGUCGGCACACCCACUAUAGUGGCCUUGUUCUGUGGGCAGGGAAGCCCACCAUGCCAUGUUGUGCUGGUGUCCUGGUUCUGCUGCUGCUUCUUGCUGUCUUGUGCCAUAUCUGGUGUUAGGGUUCUGUCUCUAUGUCUCCUGGGUCUAGAAGGUUCUCAGCAUGGAGGCCCUGGGUCCAAAGGAUGCACUUUGUUCCCAUCUCUUCUUCUUGGUGGUAGUGAGGUCCCCCUUUUUGCCUCUGGGCUGGCUCAUUUUAAGCCUAGGGAGAUGGCAAAACUGACCAGUCCCCUCUUUAGGGUUCCAUACACCUUCCAGUGGUUAAGCAUUUGGCUGGUAACCAAAAGGCCAGCAGUUCAAAUCUAUCAGCCACUCUUUGGAAACCCUACGGGGCAGUUCUGCUCUGUCCUGUAGGGUCACUAUGAGUCAGAAUUGACUCAAUGGAAACAGGUUUGGUUUUGUUUUUUUUUUUGGUUACUCUCACAAGGGUGCCGUGCUCUUCUUUGCAUUAUUAUCAAGCUGUCCAAUUGCCUUGAUGGGCCACAAGCUCCUUAUUUGCAUAGCCCCACCCAAUCAUUUGGUGGGAGUUACAAGAUCAUGGCUAGAAAGGCCAUAUAAAAGCAGUCCAUCACACUGCAAGGACGGGCUGUAGCACUUCUGACUAUGUGGAACAUGGUACCAGAUCUUUGAAUGGAUCCCUGGGUCCUUGGCCACAGAGACUCUUGGGUCAGCUUCCAUACCUCAGCUUCUGUAUGGUCCAGCCAGCCACUGCAGGUGGGCUUGAUGAGCUCAUAGAACAGGCUUUUCUCUAUGGGCAAGCAAGAGGCUGGUAGUGACAUACAGAACAGCACUGGACUCUGCUUCUGAAACCCAGAGAGGUUGAUGAGGCUGAUUUCCCAGGAGGGUGCCGUGCACUCUGGGUUCUGUGACUGACCCUGCAUGUCCUCGGUGAGCAACUGGACAAGUGAACAAUCAGAACCUGGUAGGCAGUGGGCUUUCCCUAUGCUGGGGGGCAUUGUCUCCCUUCUGGCUCUCUUGCUUGGAUCUCCUAGGUUUAUUUAAUGAAUGUCAUGUGCACGGAGACUUGCCUUGUGUUUAGAUGUGGUAGCUCAUUGACGGCACAUGCUCCAGUUCCGAGGCUAGCCCAGGAGACGCUUCGUGCAGGGGAGAAGCCAGCUUUACAGUUGUCCCUUUCCCAUUUUGUCACCCCUCUUAUGUUCUUUCCUUCUCUCCAUUUCAGGACACCGCUCCAGAGCCAGAGACAGGGAAAAAGGAGAAAUGGGAGACACUGGUAGCAGGAGCUGGAAGGUGGUCCAGGCCUGAUCCAGGCUUUGUGCUGCGUGUGUACAUGCCCAGUUCUUUCCAGCAGCUGUUUCAGCCUCUCUGCGUCAUGUAUAUGUGCAGCCGGAGAGGUAUGGGGCAGAUAUGAAGGGGUUCAACUUCUCUGGGACAGCCUGGUCCCAACCAGUCAGAAUGGCAGCUGGCCCAAACCAUCAUUCCAAGGAGGGGGGCACAGCUGGGUUGAAAUCCGUUCAUUUGUCCUCGUGUCCUUCUGCUCUAUCACGUGACUGUUCAUCAGCAAGCACAGACGUCACUCGAGGGCAGUGCGUGAUGAGGCGAGAUUGCCCUGUCAAGUGUGAUGGGACAGCCUCUUUUCAGCUUUUCUGAAAAUGGAAACCAAGAGGAACUGUGGGUCUUUCGAAGGUCACAGGAUUGGAAUACAGAGCCAAGCUGCCCCAGGACACGCGAGACCAUUGCAUGGGAAAAGCCUUUCACUUGCUAAGGAAGGAAAGCCACAGUUGCCACUGUCCUGAGGCUGCAGAAGCCAGGGGGCAGGAUGGAGGAGGAGGACCUGGGCAGGGGACCUGGGGACACCUGGCCCAACCCAUCCUGCAGGGGCCAUGCCUUUGGUUUGUUGGCUAAGCAUCUCCACCUCCACCAUCUCUGCCCCAUUAUACCACCUGCCUGUGCUGGGUCUGAGGUGCUUCUGGCAAUUGGCAGCUCAUCACCGUCCACGUUUCCACCCCAGAGGGCCCAGGGCAGCACACCGGGAGGCUGCCAAACAAGGGCUCCAGCCUUCCAGGAGUUAACACCUCCCUCUUCCCAGCUGUCCUCCCUUUGGUGCUCUUCUUCGUCCCUCCUCCCACUCACAGCAGGCAGGGCCGGGACCCAGGAGCCGUGUGGCUGCGUUGUUGCCAGGGGAGCCGGGAGGCAGAUCUGAGCUAUGCAGGGAAAAGGCCCAGCCUGUCAAAGUGUCUGAGAUGAACCGCCGCCGUCCCUGUGCAGCUGGGCUCAGACGUGUCUCGGCUCUUGUUCUGUGCCUGAGAAUGGCGAAGCCCAGUGAGGUUCAAGGGCAAACUUGCUAUUCAUUCGUCAGGGGUUCUUGACGUCCAGUUUCUCCCAGGAAUGGGCCCCUCCCCUUUUCUCUCCCUCCUGUGACAUAUUCCUGGGUGCCUUUGGUGAGGACUGCACACCCUCCUCCUCCUCCUGCCCAAACCCUCUCUGGAGGCCCCUGAAUAAACUCCCCCAAGGAGACCAAGCACGGCGGAGACAAUGGCUGUGGGAAACUAUUCAGGCGGGGUCCCAGCCAGGCUGGUCUGCCCUCUACUCCCAGCACCCCUGCGGGCCCCACUCCCCUCUGACUCCAGGCACCCCUGAGCCAUCGGCCUGUACAAGCUGGGACAGGAGGAAACCACUGGCAACAGGCUAGUCCAAUCCCAUUCUCAGUGGGCUCCGUGGCCACGCCUCUGUGGCCUGUCUCUCACACUGGCUUGCUGUCUUUGUGUCUUUCUGUACCAUCGUGUGCCUGUUUGAAGACACACUCCAGCACUGUUGGUUGGGGAGUGUAAAUUGUGUCACUGUUUCUGAAAUGUGGCAGUAUCAAAAUGUAAAAGGCACAUAUACUUUGUCACAAAUGGCACUGCUAGGAAUUUACUGUGUGGUUACAUUUGCAAAGGGCCCGAAAGAAGUAUGUACAAGGAUGUUCAACAGAGCAUUUCUUUUUAAUUGGAACAGAUCGAUGGCCCAUUCAUCCCGUGGAAUACUAUGCAACUGUAAAAAGUAACGUGGCUGCCCUGUGUCUACCAGCCGGUGUGGAAUACUGGCAGCGUGUAUCAGGAGAUGGGUAGAAUAAACUGCAGAAUAGGCAGUGGUGUAUGGUCUUUAUUUGUGUGUAUGUAAAAGGCACAGGUGCGCUUCUAUAUGGAGAGCUUCUGGAAAGAUGGACUUGAAAGCGACCUCUGGGGAGUGGGGAUGGAGGGAUACACUCUUCUGUACUGUGAGGUUUUCUUACCAUGCUUGUGAAAUCCUUCUGUUUGAAGAGGCUGUUUCAUAGGUUUAACUUCUACUAACCAUCUUGAGGUGGGAGCUCCAAGAGAAGGGUGAUGACGUUGGAGGGAAAAGCAUCCCAGCAACACUGAUGACUGCUGCUUUUGGCCAUUUGGGGCCCCAAUAAUCAUAUAGCAUCAUUGUGUCUCCUAUUACUAAUUAGAAGCCAACUAAGCGCCAGGUUGAGUAUCUCUAGAUCUCGCUUAGCUGGGCAUCGUCAUUCCAGUUUCACUGUCGUGGGAGAAAGGUUGAUGGGUUUGCCCAUGGCCCUGUGGGUGACGGGUAGAGCUAGGUGUCUGGGAAGUAGGGGCGGGGGUCGGCUCCGUGUUUCCCGCUGGUAGACUUUGCCCCUUCACUUUCUGGAGCUGUGUGUUUUGGGAAGAGGCUCUUGGAAGCCCCACCUCCCCCCCGGGGGGUCCAUGUGCUGGGGACGGUGAAAGUAGGGAAGGGGGGAAAGUGUCCCCACCCCCCGCAGGCCAACAGAGGUGUCAUUGUGCUGGGGUCGGGCCCAGCUUGGGCCAGCAUGGGGGAGUAGACAGACGUGAAAGGCCCUGUUUGCACAAGCAGCCUGUGUCUGGACAGAGAGACGUCACCGCACUGAAUGCAGCACCAAGCGCCAACUGUGGCCCCUCCCUGCCCACUUCACCCUCAAAGAGUAAAUGGCCUGAAAAGUGUUUCUGAGGAG